UUUUUNNNCUGCUCAGGAUGAACGCUGGGCGGCGUGCCUAAUACAUGCAAGUCGAACGCUUUGUCUUUAAUUGAUCUGACGAGCUUGCUCUGAUGUGAUUUUAUCUGACAAAGAGUGGCGAACGGGUGAGUAACACGUGGGUAACCUACCUCUUAGCAGGGGAUAACAUUUGGAAACAAGUGCUAAUACCGUAUAAUACCAACAACCGCAUGGUUGUUGGUUGAAAGAUGGUUCUGCUAUCACUAAGAGAUGGACCCGCGGUGCAUUAGCUAGUUGGUAAGGUAAUGGCUUACCAAGGCAAUGAUGCAUAGCCGAGUUGAGAGACUGAUCGGCCACAAUGGGACUGAGACACGGCCCAUACUCCUACGGGAGGCAGCAGUAGGGAAUCUUCCACAAUGGGCGCAAGCCUGAUGGAGCAACGCCGCGUGUGUGAUGAAGGGUUUCGGCUCGUAAAACACUGUUAUAAGAGAAGAACGGCACUGAGAGUAACUGUUCAGUGUGUGACGGUAUCUUACCAGAAAGGAACGGCUAAAUACGUGCCAGCAGCCGCGGUAAUACGUAUGUUCCAAGCGUUAUCCGGAUUUAUUGGGCGUAAAGCGAGCGCAGACGGUUAUUUAAGUCUGAAGUGAAAGCCCUCAGCUCAACUGAGGAAUGGCUUUGGAAACUGGAUGACUUGAGUGCAGUAGAGGAAAGUGGAACUCCAUGUGUAGCGGUGAAAUGCGUAGAUAUAUGGAAGAACACCAGUGGCGAAGGCGGCUUUCUGGACUGUAACUGACGUGAGNUCGAAA
rnacentral:rRNA from 1 species